GCUGUCCCUACUUGGAAUAGGGUUCUCUGCCAACCAUUCAUCCAUCCAAACCAUCUGUCCCAUACAUCAGUGACCCCUGAAUUAUUUUGUAAUUCAUCUGAGAGGCUGUCUAAUUUCUCUAUUGCCAUAGUUACCUUACCAUUGGGCCCAGUGUUGUCUGGAAUAAAAGUACAACAUGUGAUGGUCUCGGGGAGGAUUUUACAUACG